GGGUUGUUCUUCAUGGCAUUUAAAUUUUCUGAUUUGUAUAUAUCGGCAGCACAAAGCUAGAAGAUCAUGGGUUUUUUCCCUCACAAAUAUAAUGCUAUAUUUAUAAUUCAGUUUAAAGGCAGGAAGGAAGUAUUACAAUAUUUUAUCAAGAUUAGGCAGAAUACUUCAGUGUUUGCAUUGUGAUUGCAGCCAUGGCUCCUAAACUGCAGUGUCAUUGUCAAGCAGGGAGACUGCCACAGAGGAAGGGAUGUCCCUCAGCUUGCAGUGACAGGGAUUCUCAGCAGCUCAGCAGAGAACUGGACAGUGAGAGCAACCUGGGCAAGGUGCUACCAUGGAACUGGAAAGUUGGGAGGAACAUGGACAAGUCCACAGCAAAUGUAAUUGCAAAGAGGGACAUGCACGUGGAUUUCCCACAGGACAGACAAGCUCCCCCAUCACCCUAGGAGACACAGGCACAAG